AAAAUGACUCUCGGCAACGGAUAUCUCGGCUCUCGCAUCGAUGAAAAACGUAGCGAAAUGCGAUACUUGGUGUGAAUUGCAGAAUCCCGUGAACCAUCGAGUCUUUGAACGCAAGUUGCGCCCCAAGCCUUUAGGCCGAGGGCACGCCUGCCUGGGUGUCACACA
rnacentral:rRNA from 1 species